GAACCCUUCCUCUUUCACCCUCCUGUGCUCUGGCUCAGACAUUCAUCCCCCAAACUGCUGGAUUUUGAGGAGACCUAACUGAGGCCAGUGCUUGUCUGAUUAUCAGAAGACCAACCAUGAGCCUCAGCUGUGUGUGUUGUCAUCCUCUUCUGUUCCACCCACAAUACCCAAAGCAGGACCAGAGGCACCAGGACAAAAUCACAGAUGGGCGAUGACUUCGUGUGAGAAGAAACUGUCCACGUGUCCAGAGCAGAACAUCAAACAUAACAGAGGAAACUCACAGCCUCGCCUGUCUCUGGAGAUGAAACUACCAUGUGUAUUACCAGCCCACAAAGAAGCCAAAGUGAGGGAACAGAGGAUCCGAAUGAAAAGUGAAUCUCACAGCUCCUGGGGUGACUGCCUAGAAAAGCAACUCACUCACCAACCCCUUCAGAUCCAAUGGAUGGACAUGGGUCAGUAGCAGAGUUGUAGCAGGUGGUGUGCGAUUCCUGGAUUGCCUUGAGAGAGCAGUUCUACAAGGAGUGCAGUUGCUUCACUUUUCAAUCACAGCCUCCUGCCUCUCAAUCCACAGGAAGCGUGGAAAGAAGAACAGAUUAUUCUCCAUUCCCUUUCUCUGCUCCUAUCUGUAUUUUUCACAGGCAAAUUGGAAUAAAGAUAUCUGGGAGCAGUAAGAGGCUGCA
rnacentral:lncRNA from 1 species